UACAGAGGUCUCAAGCGUUGUUCGGAUUCAUUGGGCGUAAAGAGCGUGUAGGCGGCCAUGUAGGUCCGGUGUGAAAACUCGAGGCUUAACCUCGAGAUGUCAUCGGAAACCAUUUGGCUAGAGUCCGGAAGAAGAGAGUGGAAUUCCUGGUGUAGCGGUGAAAUGCGCAGAUAUCAGGAGGAACACCAAUUGCGAAGGCAGCUCGCUGGGACGUUACUGAGCUGAGACGCGAAAACGUGGGGAGCAAACAGG
rnacentral:rRNA from 1 species